ACGAACGCUGGCGGCGUGCCUAAUACAUGCAAGUCGAGCGAGUCUGCCUUGAAGAUCGGAGUGCUUGCACUCUGUGAAACAAGAUACAGGCUAGCGGCGGACGGGUGAGUAACACGUGGGUAACCUGCCCAAGAGAUCGGGAUAACACCUGGAAACAGAUGCUAAUACCGGAUAACAACAGAUGAUGCCUAUCAACUGUUUAAAAGAUGGUUCUGCUAUCACUCUUGGAUGGACCUGCGGUGCAUUAGCUAGUUGGUAGGGUAACGGCCUACCAAGGCGAUGAUGCAUAGCCGAGUUGAGAGACUGAUUGGCCACAUUGGGACUGAGACACGGCCCAAACUCCUACGGGAGGCAGCAGUAGGGAAUCUUCCACAAUGGACGCAAGUCUGAUGGAGCAACGCCGCGUGAGUGAAGAAGGGUUUCGGCUCGUAAAGCUCUGUUGUUGGUGAAGAAGGACAGGGGUAGUAACUGACCUUUGUUUGACGGUAAUCAAUUAGAAAGUCACGGCUAACUACGUG
rnacentral:rRNA from 1 species